AGGCUGCAGUGAAUUCUACAAAGAGGCUAUGGGAAAGAAACCUGGAAAGUACCCUUGGCUGUGUACAUUUGAGUAAAGAGAGCACUAUAAAAUCAAAAACCAAUGAAAUGGUUUCCAGAACACAGAACUAUUAAGCUUAAGAAAAGGACAGAAGGAACUGAAGAGAGAGGAACUGUUUUGGAGCAUCACACUUCCACCUCAGAAGAAAUAAGGAAGGAAGGAGGAGGGUGUUCCCACGGCUCUUCAACCAGGCCGGCUCUUCAGCCUACAUCCCCAUCUCAUCAAGUAAAAGGGAUUUUUCAACUGGACCAACCAGAUGGUUUAACAGUGCACUCCCACACCAUUCAACUACGCAAGGGAGAUACACUUAACAUAUGCAGUCGUAUAACACCUACUAACAUUUUCAAACAUUAAACCUUUAAAAAAGAGUUCUAAAGAAAUAGAAGCUUGAAGUAUCAUCUCUCAAGUAUAUAGACACUACUUCAUGGUGUGGUAAUAUAUGCAUAUAGAAGCUAGUAAACACCUCCAGGAGAUGCAAAAGGAAUUAGAACUGCCACAAGGUGCAAGCAAAACCUUGAGGUAAUCAAUCUGCAUCCCAUUUUGGAUGAGAAUAUUUGCAACUUUGAAGGUUAUUUUAAGGACAGCAGCAGAAGAAUUAUGGCAGCUCUUCACGGAAAAAAAAAUGGCAACAAUAAAAUCAGCAACUCCUGCCAAAUAAAUGGGCAUAAAAAAGAAAUCAUAGACUGCUGGCAAUGGUGGGGAAAAAGUUAUAAAAAUUGUCUCUGCACCAUCUUCCUU
rnacentral:lncRNA from 1 species